rnacentral:rRNA from 1 species
CACACAUUCCACACUCCCCCCACAGCCCGUCUCCACUCUCCGAGACCCCAACCCAAUCCGUAGACGGUGAACAUGGGCCGCCGCCGCCGCCAACCCUCUUCGCCGUCGCCGGCGGCGGAGCAUCCGCUGGAAGACGACGACCUACUGCGCGAGAUCCUCCUCCGCCUACCCCCACAGCCGCCCUACCUCCUGCGCGCCUCCCUCGUCGCCAAGCGCUGGCGACACAUCGCCACCGACCCCAAGUUCCUCCGCCGCUUCCGCGUCCACCACCGGAAGCCUCCCCUCCUCGGGGACUUCUCGUAUGAAGACGGGAGACUCUCGUUCAGAUCCACCCUGGACCUGCCCUACCGCAUCCCUCCCGACCACUUCCCCCUACAACUACAGCACCACGGUCGCGAGCCAUGGACGUUGGUCGACUGCCGCCACGGACGCGUGCUCCUCAUCAACAGCGAGAUGCGUCAGGUCAUUGUGUGGGACCCCUUGACUGGCGACCGCUCCCUCUUGUCACCUCCGCCGGCGUUUGACGACAUGCACACUGCGGCGGUGCUCUGCGCUGCCGGCGAGCAGGGCCACGCGCAUGGUGCCUGCCACUCGAGCCCUUUUAAAGUGGUCGUGGUGGACAGCUGCGAGCACGGCGAUGAAACCGUCGUCUUCGUGAGUGUUUACGCAUCGGAGACUGGCGUAUGGAGUGAUCUCCUCUCAACAACGCUUGCAUCUAUGGGUAUUGCUGUUGGUAAUCGCAGCACACUUGUUGGUAAGACCCUUCGCUGGUUGCUUCUGAUGAGUAACAACAUACUUGAGUUUGAUAUGGAUAGACAGACGCUAGCUGUGAUCAAAAGGCCACCUGGUGUUCGUUCGGAUGACAGUGCUUGGAUCAUCCAGGCAGACGAUGGCGGUGUUGGCUUCUCUGCUUUGUCGUGCCCCCACUGCCAGUAAUCUGCUGCUACCACCAACCCUGUUUCCGAAUGUGGGAUAGGAAGGCCAAUUGUUAUGGUGUUGCCGUAUGGGUGUUGAGGAAAUCCAUUGAACUGCAGAAGCUACGGGUUGGGGUUUAAGAUUGAGACGAACAGGUCACAUAUAGUGCGUUAUGCCGAGGAUGUUCAUGCAUUAUUUUUAUGGGUGCACUCAUCUCUCUUCAUCGUUCAGCUUGAGUCAAUGCAGCCCAAGGAGCUUUUUAAAAGGAAUCAUGUGUACACCUAUUAUCCUUUCACAAGUUUCUAUGAUGAAGGUAACUGUUGGAAUUCAAUUUAUUUUCCAUAUAUGGUUGAUGGAAUAACUUUACUGUACUUCUGAAGUGUUCAAAAUCUCUCAAUGAACUUAUUAGUCAUGUUCUUUUCUAUGUUAGUGACUUGAGCAUUAGCUCUCUGCGAAACUACGAUGGUAGUGUACUGUUGUUCUUUUAUAAUGCUACAUGUGAAUUGCCGAGUCAGGAAACAAGGCAUUUUGUAGGAGAUGGGAUAGUAUUUUUGUUGUUAGCUGGACGCUGCAAUUUCAUAUGCUUGAUUUUCUUUGAUGUUUUAGUUUUCUUGUCCUGUACUUGUGUACAAUACUUACCAUCAGGUCAUAUCGGACUUUUUAAGGGAGAGGCUAGUAAGAUAAUAUACCGGCUUGAGGCCUUUCUUACUUGCUAAGCUAGCAUUUACAUUUAAACUCUAUAAUUCCUUGUUUGACAGAUCGAUACACUUUGACACUAGAAAUGUUAUUUUUUGUGUGGCCUUUAAUUUCGUGGCUGCCAUCAGAUUUAGUAAACUAAUUAAUGCCUAAUGUAUAGUAUAAAAUGGUGAUGCCUGUACUGGGGAGUUUCAGUCAGCGAUAAUACAAGAAAAGAUUAUUAGACGGUAGAUUGGUAGUGUCAAUGUGUAUAUUGCCACAUUGCUGAUCUUAUAGCAUGGGCCAGGUUUGAAAUUUACAACAGAUACACUGAAAACUUAGGCUGAAGCAUAAUAUGGCCAAUUUAUAACUUGACUAGUACAUUAAAGCUUAAAUUAUUGUUUUGUAUUUCAGGUAGAUCAUGUGUUCAUAUUUACCUGCAGACUGUAGUGGGGCUGUUGGAUAAAAAAAAUCUGUUAAUAUUUACCUUGCUCUUUCGUGCUCAUUUCACAUUUUCUAAUAAUAGUUUACCUACCGAUGCUGAAAUGAUGUGGUUUAAAAUUUUACAAGUUUCAUAAAUCUGAAGUUAAUACUGUUGAUUUAACGCGUGAGCUGCUCCGUCCUUUGUGCACAGGUAUCAGUAGUUUGAAGCAGAAGUAGCUUACUGGUAUACUGCAACAUGGAAUGCUGACUCUUGCAGGAGUGACUAUGACCGUCGAUCAUAGUUGUCAACUUGCUUGACUUGUAGAAACUAUGUAAUGCUCUGGUACUAUUUUCAGCAAUCCUACAUGUAAUCGUCAACUGAACACUCUGAAAUGCCUGGAUCCAUUCAGCAGUAUUGAGUAAUGAUUUUUCUGUUUUCAUUGGGUUGGAACC